rnacentral:tRNA from 1 species
UCCCUGGUGGCUCAACUGGUAAAGAAUCCACCUGCAAUGUGGGAAACCAGGGUUCAAUCCCUGGCUUGGGAA